UGGAGAGCGAGAAUAAUAGAGAGAGAGAGAGGGAGAGAGAAGAGGUUGUUGGAGACCGAGAAUAAUAGAGAGAGAGAGAGGGAGAGAGAAGAGGUUGUUGGAGACCGAGAAUAAUAGAGAGAGAGAGGGAGAGAGAGCUAGAAAGAGCGAGAGAAGAGGUUGUUGGAGAGCGAGAAUAAUAGAGAGAGAGAGGGAGAGAGAAGAGGUUGUUGGAGAGCGAGAAUAAUAGAGAGAGAGAGAG